GAAAAAGUACGCAAGAGCUGCUAACUCAUGCACCCGCGUAUAACAACGCGGCUUUUUCC
rnacentral:tRNA from 3 species